CCAUGAAUACCUAGAGUUUGCGACUAUUUUAAACUUAUAUUCGAAAAGCAUAUUUUGGUAUACCAGCAAUAUGAAUAAAAUGAAUCAGACAGCAGCCCAACAACACAAAUAGCCAAAAGAAAUGUAGACUUCAACAUAUGAUCUUCAACAAUAGACAGUUCUGUACAAUACUUCAAGCUAAAGAACUCGGGCUUUUUAGAGAAAAGAGCACUUCUGUGGUUUUGUGGAAGCAUGCUCUUCACAAGGUUGGGAGUAAGGGGGUUUGAGCCCCUGUCUGAUCAAACCAAAUACUUUGAAAUUAGUAUUUUCUGCUUUAAUGCUUAGCAUACAACAUUUACAAGGUACGGCAAAGACUAGUUGGCUCUGAGUCAGUA
rnacentral:lncRNA from 1 species